ACCAACACCACCACCACCACUACCACGAACAACAACAACAACAAAAACAAAAACAAAAAAACCAGAUUUGACGUGCUGCUCUUCAAUUGACUGCCAAAACAUACAUUUUAGGCCACUUCUAACUUGAGAAAACACAUAGUGUAAAUGCCCAUGCAGCGAAAGCAAAUGACAGUACAAGUCAUGUGGGGAUCCUUCAGCGGUUUUGUCACGGAGCGAAUCCUCCAGGGAGCUCCGUCCCAGCGUGGCGCCGAUUCGUAGCGCUGGCAGCUCAACCGGCCUUCAACGGGGGAGCGGCCAAACCCCAAAAGUGCGUUGGAGUGCAGGCUGAGAUCUGAAGGGAACGAUUCAGUGAUUGAUUAGCCUGCAACCUCCUGCCUGAGAGACGGUGGAUGACGUGCAGCCUUGGGAACACGAUUUUGGCCUCGGGGCAACUCGCACUUGAAGGUAAUAACAGACUCGUAGACGCUCUGCAGCGUCACUCGCUCACACGAGCAACAAGAGCCAACAGGCCAGCAAACAACACCUGCAAACGUGCCGCACGAUCACUUUCAAGGCUGCGAGCACUGAAAAAGCCGAGUGACUGUUCACUUAGUCAUGCUGGGUGACAUCACGGCAGCAUUUCUGGCCCCUCGGGGGCCUCGAUGCCAAGCCGAGUGUAAUUUGUAGAUAGAACAAUUAGACAACAUUGUUCUAAAGCCUCUUUCACACUGUGAUCUCGCAUAAUUACUCGAGCCUUUAUUUGCUUUGGCCUUUAACACACAAAUCAACAAAGUGCAUGUGCUUUCUCACAGCAACACAGCACAAAAUUGCACCAUAAAAGCCUUCAUAGAAGAUGGAGGCUUUAUUCUCCUGUACUUUUCACACUGAACCCAGCAAAGGAGGUUGUUGUGUGUGGACUUUCACACAACACAAAAUGGCUGUAUGAACAAACAAAGCAGCAAACAAUGUGCAAUUUCACACAGCAACACUGUAAAAGGGCUCCAUAAGAGGGGUUAUGAGGGUCAGGUUUCACGUAAAAACCAGUGCAUCAGGAUACUAAUUCAACUGUGGGCAUUUUCACACGGCAACACUGAAAAGAAUAGCUGCAUAGUACGAGGAAGGUCAAGUUUCAUGCAGAAACCGGCAAAAGGAUAGCAGGGCUUAGCCACAUAUGUGCAUGCUUUCACACAGCAACACAUAGAGAAAUUCAGUAACACUGUUGUAAUGGGAAAUAUAGCAUUUAUCGACUCAUAGUUUUUACACAGAAUCCAGUAAAGCUGGAUAUUCAUUUAUAUAUUUUCAUAGUGACGGCACAAAUUGCGGUACAAGAGCCAGCAUUUAUUCAAUUACACAUAUUACCCAAAAUGCAGUGGGAGAGGGAGGUUAUUGCUGAAACUAUGUGCACUUUCACACAGUGACACAGCAAAAAAAAUGGCUGUAUGAAAGCUGCAACGGUUUUAUACAAAAACCAGCCAAUCAAGAUAUUGUGCACUUUCACACAGCAACAAAGGAAACAUUUUGUUAGCAGAGCCAUAAUAAAAGGUUCAGCAUUUAUUCACCAGCGAUUUUUCUCACAAAACCCAGCAAAGCAGGACAAUGACACAAUUGCUAAUUCCUAUAAAGCAACAUUCUAAAAUUGCUGCAAUAUAUGCCUUUCUUUGGUUGUGUGUAAAAGGUGAAUACAUUUUUUGAGCUUUUGUCAGGGCUUUGAUACAGCAGUUCUGCUGCUAGCAUUGUGCUGUGCCUCUGUGUGAAAGUGUUCACAUGGAUAUCCUCCUUGGCUGGAUUCUGUGCGAAAGGCACAGGCAACAACAAAAUGUUGGAUUUCCUGUAACCGAUUCUGCGGCGCCACCAAAAUCAAUAAUUAAACGUUCUCUCCGGAAAACUACAGUCGCCCCCGAGGGGGAUUAUCUGGGUGAAUGUUUACAAGCCACGUGCGCCAUGUUUAGUCUACGACAGGCGUCGUCGCGGCCUGCGACCUGUCCGGACCGUUUAUGGGAACGCCAGCGAGUGAUCGGAUGCUGCGGAGUCUGCUCGAGCUGGGUCAAUAUUUGCUAUCAAACGCACUUAAGACGAUCAGCUUUAAUUGCAGCUUGCUCGUCACUCUCGCUUUAUUUGGACUAGCUUGGUCGACAAAUUACGCAAGGUGCAACCUAAUACUUGGGGGUCAUCUUUCCAUCCAUUUUCUGAGCCGCUUAUCCUCACAAAGGUUGCUGGGGUGCUGGAUCCAAACUGCAUGUUUUUGCUUUUUAUUUGGCUUUUUUGGGGCAAUCCUGACUUCCUUACAAAGGCAGGUGUUAUCAAAGUAACUCUUUACUUUUAUGGCGUAGAUGCUAACGUAAUCACCAUCUAGGCAACCUCAUGGGACUUCAGGUCUGCGAGCACCCAAAGGACAAAGUUCCUGAUUUAUGUAUUUUGGGGUUUAUGUUGGGCAACACUAAUGCCAAACAAAAGCAGUUAUAGGUUACUAAUUACUUUUAUUGAAGAGAUGCUAUCUUGGAUAGAAUUUAGCUCCAAGAAGAAGGUGUUUGAUAGCAAAGCGACAGUUUUUACCGAGUAGAUGCUAAUGUAAUUAGCGUGCAGCAUACCUUGCGACACCUCGAGUCAACGAGGAUGCAAAGGUUACGGUGCCCAUUUUGCUUUGGAUUUGGCUUUUUCUUGGCAACACAAACGUGAAAAGAAUGUAGCAAAAAAAGAAAAAAAGUAACGCAUUAUUAUUUUAUUUGCUUUGGAUGCUAAUAUAAAUAGCAUGUAACAUAACUUAAGACUUGGCUUUCUAUUUGACUUUUCUGGGAAAGGGAGAGGAGGGGGGCUACACUCAUUUCAAAAGAAUCCCUAAUUUAAUUUAGCAAUCAAAUUAAUUAAAUCAUCCCAGAUUAAUUUAAACAAGCAGACGACCCAAAAAAAAAAAACAUGUAUCAUCAUUGGUAAUGUUUAUUUACCGUGGACAUGUAACUUAUUUUUUCUUUGACUUUCUUUUAAUUACCAUAUAUUAGAAGCAUGCAAUUUGUUGUCAUUAAAUCUAUAGGGCAGUGCUUAUUUUAACACUCAGAUGCUCAACUUAUUUUUACACUUGUAUGACACUUUUUUAAAUAGCUUUUUAAUGGCCGCAACUUGUAAUACACGUGUCAUGAACAAAAAUAAAUGAUCCUAUUGUCUCUGUAAUGAUUGAAAUCAAUAUAAUCAACCUUAAUGAUCUCUAAGGGAAAAACCCCAAACACCAUGGAGUACAAAAAAUAACUAUAAACUGUAGUCAUGGCUCAUUAACAAGAAAAAAAAAAAAACAGAUAAUGAAGAGUAAUGAGGUCCACCCGCACAUUACUUGAACUCUGCACGCGACUAUUACAAUGUAAAUACUGCAGUGGGGAAAACAGCACAUGCUAGAAAGCCACCAGAGUUGAUUAAUAA